AUUGAACGCUGGCAGCAUGCUUUACACAUGCAAGUCGAACGGUAACAGGCCGCAAGGUGCUGACGAGUGGCGCACGGGGGAGUAAUGCAUCGGAACGUGCCCAGUCGUGGGGGAUAACUACUCGAAAGAGUAGCUAAUACCGCAUACGAUCUAUGGAUGAGAGCGGGGGACCGUAAGGCCUCGCGCGAUUGGAGCGGCCGAUGUCAGAUUAGGUAGUUGGUGGGGUAAAGGCUCACCAAGCCAACGAUCUGUAGCUGGUCUGAGAGGACGACCCGCCACACUGGGACUGAGACACGGCCCAGACUCCUACGGGAGGCAGCAGUGGGGAAUUUUGGACAAUGGGCGCAAGCCUGAUCCAGCAAUGCCGCGUGCAGGAAGAAGGCCUUCGGGUUGUAAACUGCUUUUGUACGGAACGAAACGGCUCUGGUUAAUACCCGGGGCUAAUGACGGUACCGUAAGAAUAAGCACCGGCUAACUACGUG
rnacentral:rRNA from 1 species